rnacentral:lncRNA from 1 species
CUGGGCGGGCCGGGCGAGGACAGCUCCACCCUCGCGUCCGCCGCCCCACCGUCUGCCGGAGUGCGAGCGGCGCCCGCGUCCGAGGCCUCGCGCUGUCGCCUCCGGGCAGGGUCCCCGCCGGCGCUCGGCCUCCCCGCUCAGACCUCUGUCCGGAGCGCGUGACGCGCCUUCGCCCCGACCGUCGCGAGGGCGCGUGGGGUUGCGGACGCGCGGCCGCCGGCCGGGCCGCACCAGGACGGGACCGACCAUGGGCUGGGCGCCGCCUCCCGAGUGCCGCGCCCCAGACAGCGCCGGGUCCCAGACGGCAGGAGGCGGUGGAGGCCGGCGCCCCUGCUCUCGGCGGCCCGGAGGCGGGGCUCGUUCUCCGCGUGCUGGGCUCUCGGCGGCGCGGGCUCCUGCCCACUGGGAGCUCUUCGCCUGGGAGGCGGGCACAGCAGGACGCAAGCGGCUCGAGUUCAAGGCAGAAGGGGCCAGAGGAGGUGAAAGGCUGUGGGUGCAGAGGGAGAGAUGACGUCCCCCUCGGGUGGGAGGAAGAAUGGGAGGCCUGCAGCGUGGAGUGGAGAAGGGAAUUAUCCAAGAGUACUGGUUAUUAGCAUCUGAGAGGAGGAUCUGGAGAGUCGUCUGCUUUAGUUAUUUCAUAAUGAUGAAUGUCUGGGUUGAGCUUUUUGUGACCCCCAAAGGAACAGAAACCAAGAGGAAGAAAAUGCGUCCCCCUAUCCUGAUGGCUAAGGGCUCCCUCACGCUGGAUGAGAUGAUCUUAAAUUCUGAGUCUGCGAGAUGGCUGGAAUCUAUGAGGAGCCACCUCUGCACCCUACCAAGCUUAGGGGCUUGGGUCCUUAAGGGAAACAUGGCCACGCACUGGAGCAGUGACAGCUGGCGCGGGUGGCUCUCUGCCUCUUCUCCGGGAUCUCCCUGCAAGAUCUGCUCACCUCUCAGCCUUAAAGCGCCUGCGCUGCGUGAGAGGCCCCUGGGGGCCGGCCUCACUUCCAGAGAUUCCCUGACCUCCUGCUGGUUUCUCUGAAGCGCCUCCAGCAGCGCUCUCCACACAGGAGUCCUUCCCACUCGCCAGCGUGUGGGAGCGUCACACGCUCGUCAGGUGCUCUUGACUUCAAUGAUUUGGCUUCUAGUUCUCAAUUUGUUUCUGCUCCUACCCUUUCAGAGCUUGUCAUCGCCCAUGGGAAACAUCUGGGAAAGGUCAGGUGAUCCUCAAAUCUAAAUGCUUCAACCUAGUUUGUCCUUAAGGCUGAUUUUUUUUCCCCAAGGAAGUCACUUUCUCCUUUGCUAUGUCAAAAUUGAGAUUUUUAACAUAAAAAUGAAUACACAAGUGAACACCCCCAAUAUUGGCAUUUUCACAGCUAAUUCGUAACAUUUUUUUGUAAAGAAGAAAGAAAAAUGGGCAAAUAUCUUUAAAGGUAAUACUGCAUAAAU